rnacentral:rRNA from 1 species
CCUACGGGAGGCAGCAGUGGGGGAUAUUGCACAAUGGGGGGAACCCUGAUGCAGCGACGCCGCGUGGGUGAAGACGCGCCUCGGCGCGUAAAGCCCUGUCUGCAGGGAAGAAAAUGACGGUACCUGAAGAAGAAGCCCCGGCUAAUUACGUGCCAGCCGCCGUGGUAAGAAGUAGGGGGCAGGCGUUAUCCGGAUUUACUGGGUGUAAUGGGGGCGCAGUCGGCGAUGCAAGCCAGGAGUGAAAGGCCGGGGCCAAACCCCGGGACUGCUCUUGGAACUGCGUGGCUGGAGUGCAGGAGGGGCAGGCGGAAUUGCUGGUGUAGCGGUGAAAUGCGUAGAUAUCAGGAGGAACACCGGUGGCGAAGGCGGCCUGCUGGACUGCAACUGACGUUGAGGCCCGAAAGCGUGGGGAGCAAACAGGAUUAGAUACCCGGGUAGUC